AUUGAACGCUGGCGGCAUGCCUAACACAUGCAAGUCGAACGCUGAAACCCUGGUGCUUGCACCGGGGUGGAUGAGUGGCGAACGGGUGAGUAACACGUGAGUAACCUGCCCCCGACUUCGGGAUAAGCCCGGGAAACUGGGUCUAAUACCGGAUAUGAGCGCCCCUCGCAAGAGGGAUGCUGGAAAGUCUUUUCGGUUGGGGAUGGGCUCGCGGCCUAUCAGUUUGUUGGUGAGGUAAUGGCUCACCAAGACGACGACGGGUAGCCGGCCUGGGGGGGCGACCGGCCACACGGGGACUGAGACACGGCCCAGAGUCCUACGGGGGGCAGCGGUGGGGAAUAUUGCACACGGGGGGAACCCCUGAGGCAGGGACGCAGCGGGGGGGAUGCCGGCCUUGGGGUUGUAACCCGCUUAAAGGAGGGAAGAAGCCCCUUGGGGUGACGGUACCGGCAGAAGAAGUACCGGCUAACUACGGGCCGGCCGCCGCCGUAA
rnacentral:rRNA from 1 species